rnacentral:rRNA from 1 species
GUGCCAGCCGCCGCGGUAAUACCGGCAGCACAAGUGAUGGCCAAUCUUGUUGGGCCUAAAGCGUCCGUAGCUGGCCGAGCAGGUCCGUCGGGAAAUCCACGUGCUCAACGCGUGGGCGUCCGGUAGAAACUGGCCGGCUUGGAACCGGAAGGCUCAGAGAGUACGUCCGGGGUAGGAGUGAAAUCCCGUAAUCCCGGACGGACUACCGAUGGCGAAAGCACUCUGAGAAGACGGCUUCGACAGUGAGGGACGAAAGCUCGGGUCUCAAACCGGAUUAGAAACCCGAGUAGUCC